rnacentral:sRNA from 1 species
GUUGGGCACAGUGGUGUGUGCCUGUAAUCCCAGCAGCUCGGGAGGCUGAGGCAGGAGGAUUGCGAGUUCAAAGCCAGCCUCAGCAAUUUAGCAAGGCCCUAAGCAACACAGAAAGAGCCUGUCUCAA